GCCCCCCUCCCCACCACCACCCAUCCGGCUCCCUUCUCUCUCCCGAUCCAAAUCCUCCGCUGCCCCUUCUCUUCCCUGCCGCGUCGCCCCCUCCCCUCCGUCUUCCCCAGCCGCACCUUCCCCUCCCCGGGCGGAGGCGGCCCGCCGGCAGCGGGAGUUCCACACGCGGGCGGAAGCGGCCUACCGGCGCGGGAGCUCCACGCGGCUGGCCGACACAGGAGCUCGAGGCGGGACGGAGACAGCCGGCCUCAAAUCUGCCGACGAGUCUCCCAGCCCCACCAGCCUCCCCAUGCGGCCGUCGGAGAUGUUCCGCUGGGCCGCGGUGGCGCUCACUCUUGCGGCCGCGGCGCUCCUAGCCGCCGCACCAGCCGCCGUGCAUCUCUCCGUCUGCUCCUGGGCGGUGGUGACAUGGGCGCCGCCGCUCCCGGCUCCCACGCAAGCUCAUCCGUGAAUCCAGGUGCGGCUCCUCAGGCUCUUCUUCCCAAUCUCCUUCAACACAUACACAUGGCCCCUUUCCCCCUUUCCUUGUCCCUUUCCCCUCAAAGCGCAAGACGGCAGCUCGUCCCCAUGGUGCGCGGCAACAUCUUCAGGUGUGCAGGCCCUCUCCAAUCCUGAUCCAAUGGCAUGCAGAGGUGCUACAAGCCCAGAUCUGGUGGAACACUGACUUACAUCAUCAUUUGACAGGUCAGUGAGUUGUCGCGGAAGACUGGAAGACAUACAUAAGGCACUAGAGACUUCUAGCUUGAGAAGUGAGAACACAAGACUUAUGGAUCAAACUAUCAGGUGAUUCUCAGUAAGUAGUAUUCACCAACAUAGCACUCUCAGAUGUGAACACAAUAGCUUUUUUUCUGUUAAAGAGAGCACUUGACUAUCAGUUGGAAAAGCCAUAUUUGACAUUAUUGAACUGAUUAUCUUUUGCUGCAUGCUGUCCAAUUGAUUGAUAAGCCAUAUUGAAUUAUAGAUUUGGUAUUCUUUGGAACAAUACUACAAUGCAUCUGUUAGCUAUAUAAGGACCACUGAAGCAGAUUAGAGGAGGCACUAUAUAUGAGUAAAGAUGUAUGAACAGAUGUAUGUAUGUGUGAUCAGAGGAGGCACUAUGAUGUAUAUAUGGCCUUUUUUUUA